ensembl:lncRNA novel transcript, antisense to EFL1
UUUUUCUUUCUUUUUUUUUUUUAAGACAGGCUGGAGUACAGUGGUUCAAUCAUGGCUUACUGCAGCCCCUACCUUCCCAGGCUCAGGGGGGCCCUCUCACCUCAGCCUCCUCAGUAGCUGGCACUACAAGCUCAGGCUACUAUCCUGGUUAAUUUUUGUAUUUUUUGUAAAGAAGGGAUUUCACCAUGUUAUCCAGGCUGGUCUCGAACUUCUGGGCUCAAGCAAUCCGUCUGCCUCGGCCUCCUGAAGUGCUGAGGCAGGCAGAUCAUGAGGUCAGGAGUUUGAGGCCAGCCUGGUCAACAUAGCAAAACCCCAUUUUUACUAAAAAUACAAAAAUUAGCCAGCUGUGGUGGCACACACCUGCAGUCCCAGCUGUCAGGAGGCUGAGGCACAAGAAUCGCUUGAACCCAGGAGGCAGAGGUUGUAGCGAGCUGAGAUCAUGCCACUGCACUCUCCAGCCUAGGCGAAAGAGCAAGAUUCUGUCUCAAAGAAUAAACAAACAACCAACCAAUUGCACAAACAGAUAUAUUUUUAGGCAGCUAUUUGUGUGGGAAAAGGUCUUCAGUUUGUGAUUGACAAUAGGUUUGGUGUGAGCUAAUAGUCUGAAGUAGCUGCUAACUCAAUCUUAGGUUUUCCUUCAUGAAGCACAGGGACAGUUUAUAAAGUAACAGGUUCCUUUAAUGGUCACCUAUAUCUGAAGUAUUAUUCUGUUAGAAACGACAGGUUGGGCCAAAGAGGAUGGCAAGAUGCCUGUAAAUCAUAUCUUACAGGCUGGGCGCGGUGGCUCAUGCCUGUAAUCCCAGCACUUUGGGAGGCCGAGGCGGGUGGAUCACGAGAUCAGGAGAUCGAGACCAUCCUGGCUAACACGGUGAAACCCCAUCUCUACUAAAAAAUACAAAAAAAUUAGCCGGGCGUGGUGGUGGGCGCC